AUACGGAGGGUGCAAGCGUUACUCGGAAUCACUGGGCGUAAGGCGCGCGCAGGCGGUUUGAUAAGUUGGAUGUGAAAUCCUAUGGCUCAACCAUAGAACUGCAUCCAAAACUGUCAAACUAGAGUCUGGGAGAGGAAGAUGGAAUUAGUUGUGUAGGGGUAAAAUCCGUAGAGAUAACUAGGAAUACCAAAAGCGAAGGCGAUCUUCUGGAACAGUACUGACGCUGAGGCGCGAAAGCGUGGGGAGCAAACAGGAUUAGAAACCCCAGUAGUCC
rnacentral:rRNA from 1 species